rnacentral:rRNA from 1 species
UCGAGCGGAAAGGCCCUUCGGGGUACUCGAGCGGCGAACGGGUGAGUAACACGUGAGUAACCUGCCCUAGGCUUUGGGAUAACCCUCGGAAACGGGGGCUAAUACCGGAUAUUCAUUCUUCACGGCAUCGUGGGGUGUGGAAAGUUUUUCGGCCUGGGAUGGGCUCGCGGCCUAUCAGCUUGUUGGUGGGGUGAUGGCCUACCAAGGCGACGACGGGUAGCCGGCCUGAGAGGGCGACCGGCCACACUGGGACUGAGACACGGCCCAGACUCCUACGGGAGGCAGCAGUGGGGAAUAUUGCACAAUGGGCGGAAGCCUGAUGCAGCGACGCCGCGUGAGGGAUGAAGGCCUUCGGGUUGUAAACCUCUUUCGACAGGGACGAAGCGCAAGUGACGGUACCUGGAGAAGAAGCGCCGGCCAACUACGUGCCAGCAGCCGCG